GAUGAACGCUGGCGGCGUGCCUAAUACAUGCAAGUCGAGCGAACAGACGAGGAGCUUGCUCCUUUGACGUUAGCGGCGGACGGGUGAGUAACACGUGGAUAACCUACCUAUAAGACUGGGAUAACUUCGGGAAACCGGAGCUAAUACCGGAUAAUAUAUUGAACCGCAUGGUUCAAUAGUGAAAGACGGUUUUGCUGUCACUUAUAGAUGGAUCCGCGCCGCAUUAGCUAGUUGGUAAGGUAACGGCUUACCAAGGCAACGAUGCGUAGCCGACCUGAGAGGGGGAUCCGCCACACUGGAACUGAGACACGGCCCAGACUCCUACGGGAGGCAGCAGUAGGGAAUCUUGCACAAUGGGCGCAGGCCUGACGCAGCCACGCCGCGUGAGUGAAGAAGGUCUUCGGAUCGUAAAACUCUGUUAUUAGGGAAGAACAUAUGUGUACGUAACUAUGCACGUCUUGACGGUACCUAAUCAAAAAGCCGCGGCUAACUACGUG
rnacentral:rRNA from 1 species